rnacentral:rRNA from 1 species
UACGGAGGGGGCUAGCGUUGUUCGGAAUUACUGGGCGUAAAGCGCGCGUAGGCGGCCCGGUAAGUCCGCUCUGAAAGUCCAGGGCUCAACCCUGGAAUGCGGGUGGAUACUGCCGGGCUAGAAUCCGGAAGAGGCGAGUGGAAUUCCUGGUGUAGCGGUGGAAUGCGCAGAUAUCAGGAGGAACACCGGUGGCGAAGGCGGGUCUCUGGGCCGUAACUGACGCUGAGGAGCGAAAGCAUGGGGAGCGAACAGG